UUUAGUUAGAAGGGAAUUGUUUUGAACUGUUCAUUAUCUCAGCAUGUCUAUUUCCUACAAGACACUUUGGUAUGUACAACUGGUGAACAAUCAUAGCCCUCCUUGAGAGAUGUCGUAUUAAAAUACACACACGCACACACACACACACACACACACACACACGUCACUCAGAGGCAAAACAGAGGGGCAUGGGAAUGAGGUAGAGGCCAAUUUGAUUUUAAUUCACUAAACAUUUACUCAGUGCCACAAACUGUGCUAAGGGGUAUGCUACAAAAGUAAAUAUUUUAAAACAAAUUAUUCCUGUCCUUAAGGAACUCAGUAUCGAAUAGAGGAGGAAGGCAAUUAAGGAGCUGAAGUGUGAAACCCUAGUGUAGUACAUACGACAGAAGAUAUACGGAGAUGGAGAGAGUUGCUGAGGAUGAGGUAUUCUGGGGAAGGAUCAAGCAUGCCAAGAUUACCAAGACUGAAAGGGAAAUGGGACUUUUCCAGGUAUGUCAGAGGAGUAGAAAGGGCCUCAGAAGGCAAGAGGAGGAAAUCCCAUGUGAAUUUCUGGGGGCAUGGUUGGAGGAGGAUAUGGUAUUUUGUUUUUCACCAUUUUAAAUGCAAAGGAGGGAGAGGGUAAGAGUUAAGGAUGGGAAAGGAGACAGUGGCCAGAUCACAUCUCUUCAUUAAUCCAGGCAGAGUUUGGACUUUAUCUUGCAGGUAUCAGAGUUAGUGAGAGGUUUGAAACACCAUUAACCUUGCAUUUUGGAAAAAGCACAGAGGGGAGGGUAGCUUGGUGAGGAAGGAGACCAGUUGAGGCCAGCCAAGUGGGCUACUAGAGAAGAGAAACAAGUUUCAACAACAGCUUAAAACAGUUUUUCAGAGUGUAUCUUGAAUAACAUCUUAAAACUUUAAAAAAUACCACAAGGCAAAAACUUUCAUUUUGAAAUUUAUAAUGUGGGAUAGCCCUCAUGUUUCUUUUAAUGUCCACAAAAUACUCCCGAGUUUUAUUGGUUUAUAUAAAUGCAGUGUUUUUCUUUUUUGCUAGUUCUUGUGGUUUCUAUGCCAGGCACUGGGAAAUGAAUAAAAUCAGGCCAGCAAGGAUAUCAUAAAGCAGAUGUGAGAAAUGCUAAAGAACUGGUUGGAGAGUCUGCUAGCCAACUUCAGCACGGGACACCCAGGAAGAAAAAUGAACCUACAUAACUUGGAUGUGAAAGCCUACAGGACUUGGAUGUGAAAUGUCCACUCCGCCUUCACUCUGUGAGUGGAUGCCAGAGUCCUUUAACUGGAUGGCAUUAAAAAAGGAAACAAAACAACAGACAGGAGACAGCCAUGGAAAAAGAAUACAAACCGCGACUUUUAGAUGUAAGAAAGGACAGUAAGCCCUCCUUUAACAAGCUCAGGUGAAAAAACUAGAGGCAAGUCCAAGUGCUUGCUGAGAUCAUGAAAUAAUCAGAACUCUUAUACAUUGCUGGUAAGAAUACAAUUGAUUUGGAAAAUAGUUCAACAUUCUGUAAUUAGGUUUGACACAGGCACAAGGAGACAUGUUCAAAAACAUCAAUAGCAGCACUAUGUGUAGAAGCAAAAUACCGAAGACAACCCAAAUGUUCAUCAAUGCUGGGUUGGAUGAAUAAUAGACUUCUAUGAUGGAAUACUAUGCAGGAAUGAAAAAGAAUAAGACACAAUCGAGCAUAUCGACAUGGGUGAAUCUCACCUAUAGUGUUGAAUAGCAAAAGUAUGUAAUUCCUUUUCUAUAAAAUUAAACAUGGAAUGUAGAGUAUUAUAUAUGGAUAUGUAUAUCUGCAGUAAAACUAUUAACAACUAGAAAAGAAAGAGGGUGAUAAAAGCAAAAUUCAGGACAGUACUUUACCUGCAGGGGUAAUUGGGAAGGGCAAUGUUGUAUUUUUUAAACUGGCUGGUGAGUACAAAAGUGCUCAUUUAUCACUGUUUGUUUUAUCUUACACAGCACUGUAAAUACUCUUUGGUAUGUAUUCAACUUUAAGUUUUAAAAAAGAAAAAGCAAAACCACCUACUGAUACUGCCAUCCUUGCAAAAAUGAAUCUUUAGGAAACUUAACAUAGUCACUGCACUUUUUUCUUCUCCCCUACAAAGAGAUGAUGAGAUUGGCCCCGUGUCUAAAAAACAGUGUGUGGGGAAGGCAUGGAGAAGCAAUUGAACUGAAACAAAGUCAAAAGUGGGAAGUCCCCCUCUGGCAAGCAGCUCUAAGAUGACAGAGCUAGAGCCAGAAUCUCAACCUUGGGACUCUGGUUCCUGUAUAAAAAAAUAAAUAUUAAGAACAAAAAUAAAUACCACAUCUCCAUGCUGGACAGCAGAAGAGCAAUAAGUUGCCAAAUAUUUGAGUUUUUGUUUUGAUAGUUUCUUACUCUCUAAAUGGAAGCUCCUAUAUUUCCUGUUUUCCGUAUGUUAGAAGCUCAGUACAAAUGGGAGAAAAAGAAAAGACUGGAUGUGCCUUGUUUAUUGU